rnacentral:pre_miRNA from 13 species
CGGUAGUGCAUUGCAUUUGCAGUGUAAAAUGGAGUUCAACGCGCGAUUUGCGUACUAUUUUGCAUGUUUCGACGCUUAAACGGUAGUGCAUUGCAUUUGCAGUGCAAAAUCU